CCUACGGGAGGCAGCAGUAGGGAAUCUUCCGCAAUGGACGAAAGUCUGACGGAGCAACGCCGCGUGAGUGAUGAAGGUUUUCGGAUCGUAAAGCUCUGUUGCCAGGGAAGAAUGCUUGGGAGAGUAACUGCUCCCAAGGUGACGGUACCUGAGAAGAAAGCCCCGGCUAACUACGUGCCAGCAGCCGCGGUAAU
rnacentral:rRNA from 1 species